ACUGCGGGAGGAUCAUUC
rnacentral:rRNA from 1 species